CCCUUAUCCUUUGUUGCCAGCGAUUCGGUCGGGAACUCAAAGGAGACUGCCAGUGAUAAACUGGAGGAAGGUGGGGAUGACGUCAAGUCAUCAUGGCCCUUACGAGUAGGGCUACACACGUGCUACAAUGGCAUAUACAAAGAGAAGCGACCUCGCGAGAGCAAGCGGACCUCAUAAAGUAUGUCGUAGUCCGGAUUGGAGUCUGCAACUCGACUCCAUGAAGUCGGAAUCGCUAGUAAUCGUGGAUCAGAAUGCCACGGUGAAUACGUUCCCGGGCCUUGUACACACCGCCCGUCACACCAU
rnacentral:rRNA from 1 species